CAAAUACAAACAAUCCCAUUUAAAUCUCAAAAUGAAAUAACUUUCCUUAUCAGAUUUUCCAACACAGUUAAAAAAAAUUUCCUCUUCCAUCUGCUUGAACGUUGAAAUCUCAAAAAAUUAUCAAAGGCUCUACAAAACAAUAUUACUCACAAUCGGCACUUGAAAUUGGUAAGUAUAAAUACGUAUGUUUAAUUUCAUUUUAGUUAAAUUAGUAGAUUAUUUGAAUAUUUAAAUUUUAUUUCAACAUAUAAUUUUAGAAAGAUAAAAUAUUACAGCCUUAAAUGGAUGUAUAAUUUUUUUUAGCAAAAACGAGGAAAAAAAUUCAUCUGUUCAGAUACAAAAUGUAGAAGGCAGUAAGCCAAAAAGUGGCCGGGCCGGAUGUUUAAUAGCCGGCCUGGACACUUUUUUUCCUUGUGUCAUAUUUUUUUCGUCCUUUUAUUCUCGUAAUUACAAUUUUUUUAAUAAAUGAUGUUUCCUAAUGCAGAUAUAGGAUCAACUGCUGUUCCGAUUUGUUACUUUGGUGAAUUUGAAAAUAAUGACAAUGAUCGAUGAGUGUGGAAAUGGACGAGUGAAAAACAUGGUUGUACUGCAAUUGCAAUAACAUCAAGUACAUCAUAUGCAGAAAUGUACAAUGAGAUACAGAACUUGCUGAAAGUCGAUUCCUCUGAGUACCCCAUGGAAUUGGGAUUUCUAAUGGGCGAGAAUACAUUCAUUUCAAUUCCACCUAUAAUGAUUACUUCUGAAGCUGAAAUGAAGGUUUUAAUUGAAAUGAACCAGGAACGUGCGAUUCCUAUUUGCGUAACUUUGAUGAAGAAUAAUGUCCCUGAGAGUGAACACGAAGAUUUCAAUGGAGAGGAUCGUAAUGUGAAUGAUUUUUGGGACACAGUGGAAAUAAUGUGUGAUGAUGUUGUGGCUGUUCCAGAAACAGUUGCUUCUCACCAUGAUCUCAUUGUUAUACACAGAAUUUGCUCGGUAGUUCAAGACAACGAAAGAGAUAAUGACUUUACAAAUGAGAGUUUGAUUGUUUUAUCCCGUUUGAGACAUGAGUCGAGUGGGAGCUUACAUGCUGGACAGAGUGCACGGUCCUCUAAUUGUUCGCAUAUAGUUCCCGAUGAUGAAGAUUUGUAUGUCGAGCAACAGUUUGACAUGAAGAAAGAUUUGCAGGAAGCUGUUCACCGG
rnacentral:lncRNA from 1 species